rnacentral:rRNA from 1 species
UUAUGAGUUAGUGGCGGACGGGUGAGUAACGCGUGGAUGACCUGCCGUAUACCGGGGGAUAACACUUAGAAAUAGGUGCUAAUACCGCAUAAGCGCACGAAGCCGCAUGGAUUUGUGUGAAAAACUCCGGUGGUGUAAGAUGGACCCGCGUCUGAUUAGCUUGUUGGCGGGGUAACGGCCCACCAAGGCGACGAUCAGUAGCCGGCCUGAGAGGGUGGACGGCCACAUUGGGACUGAGACACGGCCCAAACUCCUACGGGAGGCAGCAGUGGGGGAUAUUGGACAAUGGGGGGAACCCUGAUCCAGCGACGCCGCGUGAGUGAAGAAGUAUUUCGGUAUGUAAAGCUCUGUCAGCAGGGAAGAAAGAAAUGACGGUACCUGACCAAGAAGCCCCGGCUAACUACGUGCCAGCAGCCGCGGUAAUACGUAGGGGGCAAGCGUUAUCCGGAAUUACUGGGUGUAAAGGGAGCGUAGACGGUUAAGUAAGUCUGGAGUGAAAGGCCGGGGCCCAACCCCGGGACUGCUCUGGAAACUAUUGAACUUGAGUGCAGGAGAGGUAAGCGGAAUUCCUAGUGUAGCGGUGAAAUGCGUAGAUAUUAGGAGGAACACCAGUGGCGAAGGCGGCUUACUGGACUGUAACUGACGUUGAGGCUCGAAAGCGUGGGGAGCAAACAGGA